rnacentral:rRNA from 1 species
UACAGAGGGGGCAAGCGUUGUUCGGAAUUACUGGGCGUAAAGGGCGCGUAGGCGGCCUUCUAAGUCAGACGUGAAAUCCCCAGGCUUAACUUGGGAACUGCGUCUGAUACUGGGAGGCUUGAGUGCGGGAGAGGGAUGCGGAAUUCCAGGUGUAGCGGUGAAAUGCGUAGAUAUCGGGAAGAACACCAGUGGCGAAGGCGACGUGCUGGGUUGCACCUGACGCUGAGAUGCGAAAGUGUGGGGAGCAAACGGG